rnacentral:tRNA from 1 species
GCGGGUGUGGUCUAGCCCGGUUUAAGACACGGCACUGUCACUGCCGAGAUCACGGGUUCAAAUCCCGUCACCCGCG